rnacentral:rRNA from 1 species
AUACGGCUGGCGGCGUGCCUAACACAUGCAAGUCGUACGAGAAAGCCGGCUUCGGCUGGUGAGUAAAAGUGGCGCACGGGUGAGUAACGCGUGGAUAAUCUGCCCUUAAGUGUGGAAUAACGUACCGAAAGGUGCGCUAAUACCGCAUAAUGCCUGGCAACACAAGUUGUCCGGCCAAAGAAGGCCUCUGUUUACAAGCUUUCGCUUCAGGAUGAGUCCGCGUACCAUUAGCUUGUUGGUGGGGUAAUGGCCUACCAAGGCUGCGAUGGUUAGCUGGUCUGAGAGGAUGAUCAGCCACACUGGAACUGAGACACGGUCCAGACUCCUACGGGAGGCAGCAGUGAGGAAUUUUGCGCAAUGGGGGAAACCCUGACGCAGCGACGCCGCGUGGAGGAUGACGGCCUUCGGGUUGUAAACUCCUGUCUUCUGGGACGAAUAAUGACGGUACCAGAGGAGGAAGCCACGGCUAACUACGUG